GACGAACGCUGGCGGCGUGCUUAACACAUGCAAGUCGAGCGGUAAGGCCCUUUCGGGGUACGACGAGCGGCGAACGGGUAGAGUAACAACGUGGGUGGACCUCGCCCUCCAGCUCUGGGAGUAAGACCUCGGGAAACCGGGGUACGUAAUACCGGAUAUGACUCCAUGACGCAUGUUGUGGGGUGGAAAGCCUUGUGCGGC
rnacentral:rRNA from 1 species